UGCAGAGGGUGCAAGCGUUGUUCGGAAUUAUUGGGCGUAAAGGGCGCGUAGGCGGUGCGGUAAGUCUUUUGUGAAAUCUCCGGGCUCAACUCGGAGUCUGCAGGAGAAACUACCGUGCUGGAGUGUGGGAGAGGUGCGUGGAAUUCCCGGUGUAGCGGUGAAAUGCGUAGAUAUUGGGAGGAACACCAGUGGCGAAGGCGGCUAACUGGACCGGUUCUGACGCUGAGGCGCGAAAGCGUGGGGAGCAAACGGG
rnacentral:rRNA from 1 species